rnacentral:rRNA from 1 species
UGGGGGAUAUUGCACAAUGGGCGAAAGCCUGAUGCAGCGACGCCGCGUGGGGGAUGAAGGCUUUCGGGUUGUAAACCUCUUUCGCUAUCGAACAAGGCCCGCUUAGGGUGGGUUGAGGGUAGGUGGAGAAGAAGCGCCGGCUAACUACGUGCCAGUAGCCGCGGUAAUACGUAGGGCGCGAGCGUUGUCCGGAAUUAUUGGGCGUAAAGAGCUUGUAGGCGGCUUGUUGCGCCUGCUGUGAAAACGCGGGGCUUAACUUCGCGCGUGCAGUGGGUACGGGCAGGCUUGAGUGUGGUAGGGGUGACUGGAAUUCCAGGUGUAGCGGUGGAAUGCGCAGAUAUCUGGAGGAACACCGAUGGCGAAGGCAGGUCACUGGGCCAUUACUGACGCUGAGGAGCGAAAGCAUGGGUAGCGAACAGG